rnacentral:lncRNA from 12 species
CACAGAGGAUGGGAAUGCCUGCUUUGCCUUCUUCUUGAAAGGCACACAAAACGGGCGCCCCAGUCAAGGAGCUUCAAUAUUGCAUGUUUACUUGGCCAUAUGGUGAAACGAUCUGCAGUUUUUGUUUUCUCUCUCCUGUUACAGGAUAACUGCUUCAGCCACGUGCUUUAUGGAUUUCAGCAGGUUUCCUCUUGACACUCAGAACGAGGACACUCUUGACACUUGUUCCCUUGAACUGGAAAGCUUAUCCGAUAUAUUUGUGUCAUCGGACCAGGCACCGGGGACGCAGAGCUCCAUAAAUGGUGGUCGUAGAGCUCCUGGAGCUCACGAGAGCUUGUUCUCAUGCCAAGAACCUUGCUGUCUUGCUUCAGACGCGUACAGUGAAGAGGAUCUAAUGCUGUACUGGAAACAUGGAAACAAGUCCCUAAAUACUGGUGAGCGUAUUUCCCUUCAUUGAGGAGUUCACUGCAUCCAGUGGAUUUGCUUUCUACAGCAGCACAGGUGCGUUAUCCUAUGUGGACAAUUCAUCAGCACUUACUGAGCACCUACUGUUUGCAGAGCACCACAGCAGGUGAAGAGACCGGAAUCCCAACAAGGGUCCUGUUUGGCCAAUACCCACUUCCCUCCUUUACAGGCCACCUCCUCCACCUGCCCAGCAUGGGACUUCGCCCCCUCAUGCAGUCACUUGCAGGUGAACACCCUUCUCCCACACCUGGCCCCUGCAGUCUACGCUUAACACAGCAGACAGAGCCUUCUUUGAAAAGACAAAGACCACAAUUCUUUCCUGCUUAAAACCCUCCAUGGUGUUUCCACCACACUAACAACAAAACUCAAGCUUCUCAAAUGGCCUACAAGGCCCACAUGACCUACCUCUCUGAUCUCUCCCUUCUUGCCUGUCCUCAAACACACCAAUCUCCUUCUACCCACAGGGCUUCUGCUUUGGCCUGUUCCUCCGUCCACCUGGAAUGAUUUUCCCCAAGUUUUCUCAUGACCAGCUCCCUCCUUCUGUUCAGGGCAUUGUUCAAAUAUGAUCUCAAAGAGUGCUUUCUUAACGCUCAUGUCUAAACCAGGCCUCCUUCCUCACCAAUCCCUGCCUGUUUGUCUUCACAGCACUUAACACUACCUGAAAUAGUCUCUAGUUGACUGCUUUAUUGUCUGAGGGUCUGACUAGAAAGAGUCCAAGAAAUCUGUCUGCCUCGUUCACCAUUUCUUCCCCGGCCCCUGAAACAGGCUCCGCACAUGACAGAUGCCCAGGAAACACCGCUGUGCUUGCUUGGGCAGCACGUAUACUCAGUAGGCAUUGCUGGGUGAAUCAGUCAGAAAAGCAGAAAAUCCACUCAAUAUCCGGCCUGUACUGCAGACUCUUUACUCUGACAGACGUUUUCUUGUUUGGCAACAUAGAAUAGUAUCCACAGCGCUUUUUAAAUUAUACUUGAUCCCUGUUGAUUAAAGCUCCACGUAGCUUCCUCUUCCCUGGUUAUUAGCACUCUGCGUCAUUUCUGGAAGAAUCCAUAUAAAAAUGCCAUUUUAGGUUUUCGAAGCCGUAAGGAGCCUGGACAGUGUGUGCUGCCCCUGGGUUUCAGAGCCACCCUGCCUCAAAUGCUUUUACCUACUGACUUUUCUCCCUGGACGUGCUCUACUCUGCCCUUUCACUCUGGAGUUAUCAGGUUGUAAAUAAACAUCCUGAAUCACUAAGAGAGAAGACA